UACGUAGGGUGCGAGCGUUUGUCCGGAAUUACUGGGCGUAAAGAGCUCGUAGGUGGUUUGUCGCGUUGUCCGUGAAAACUCACAGCUCAACUGUGGGCGUGCGGGCGAUACGGGCAGACUGGAGUACUGCAGGGGAGACUGGAAUUCCUGGUGUAGCGGUGAAAUGCGCAGAUAUCAGGAGGAACACCGGUGGCGAAGGCGGGUCUCUGGGCCGAUACUGACGCUGAGGGGCGAAAGCGUGGGGAGCGAACAGG
rnacentral:rRNA from 1 species